CCGGGCAGACGAGUCAAUGAAGCGGCUCCCAGUCCCGCGCGCGGCUGAGCGGCUGAGCGGCACGGCCGUUCCGGGAAACGGGCCCUUCACGUCCUCUGUGGAGGCCACCGAGAGCCCUCGCACCCCCAGAGGGUGUGCCGCGGGACACCCGCGCGGUACCAGGUGCACCCUUGGAGGCCAGGCUGUCGCUGGUGGAAACGUCCUCGCCGCGCACCGCGGGGCUGCAGUUGAAGGCGGGGGUUGGAAGAAAACAGGAAGAAGUCGUUCGAGCUUGGGUUUCCCCCCAGCGGACCUGAGGCGAGCAUUUGGGUACAACGGGAGUACGGGGCUCGUGCCUGAGCAGGUGUCCAGAGGGCCACAGGGGCUCAGUCUCGCUGAGGACACUCGAGACCGCGUGGAAUCCGCCGCAGCACUGUCCCCAAGAGGCGAGAAGGUCCAGUAUAAAUUUACUCCUAAUGAUUUCAAACCCAUCAGUAAAAUAUGAAGAUGCUGUGGAACCUGUGUGUACCACGAUGAGGGGCUUGGCAGCCUGUGGGAGCUGUAUGGGGUGCAGGGCAGUGCAUGAAGCUGGAGCCCAAGAGGCAGUGAUGCCGGGAAUGCAGGACCCUGGGUACAUGAGUUGGGCUUAGGGUUUCAGUCUGUACCUG
rnacentral:lncRNA from 1 species